UGGUAGGAUAGAGGCCUACCAUGGUGGUAACGGGUAACGGGGUGUUAGGGCACGACACCGGAGAGGGAGCCUGAGAAACGGCUACCACAUCCAAGGAUGGCAGCAGGCGCGCAAAUUACCCAAUCCCGACACGGGGAGGUAGUGACAAUAAAUAACAAUACGGGGUUCUUUCGGAUCUCGUAAUUGGAAUGAGUACAAUUUAAAUCUCUUAACGAGGAACAAUUGGAGGGCAAGUCUGGUGCCAGCAGCCGCGGUAAUUCCAGCUCCAAUAGCGUAUAUUAAAGUUGUUGCAGUUAAAAAGCUCGUAGUUGAAUUUCGGGGUUAGUAGGUUGGUCAUGCCUCUGGUAUGUACUGGUCUCACUGAUUCCUCCUUCCUUAUGAACCGUAAUGCCAUUAAUUUGGUGUUGCGGGGAAUUUGGACUGUUACUUUGAAAAAAUUAGAGUGUUUAAAGCAAGCUAACGCUUGAAUACAUUAGCAUGGAAUAAUGAAAUAGGACGUUCGAUCUUAUUUUGUUGGUUUCUAGGAUUGACGUAAUGAUUAAUAGGGAUAGUUGGGGGCAUUAGUAUUCAAUUGUCAGAGGUGAAAUUCUUGGAUUUAUUGAAGACUAACUACUGCGAAAGCAUUUGCCAAGGAUGUUUUCAUUAAUCAAGAACGAAAGUUAGGGGAUCGAAGACGAUCAGAUACCGUCGUAGUCUUAACCAUAAACUAUGCCGACUAGGGAUCGGAUGA
rnacentral:rRNA from 1 species